GUGCUCGCUUUGGCAACACAUAUACUAAAAUUGGAAUGAUACAGAGAUGAUUAGCAUGGCCCCUGCACAAGGAUGACAGGCAAAUUUGUGAAGCGUUCCAUAUUUUU
ensembl:snRNA U6 U6 spliceosomal RNA